UACGGAGGGUGCGAGCGUUUCUCGGAAUCACUGGGCGUAAAGCGUACGCAGGCGGCUCGUUAAGUCGGGUGUGAAAGCCCGGGGCUCAACCCCGGAAUUGCGCCCGACACUGGCGAGCUUGAGUACGGGAGAGGGAUAGCGGAAUUCCUGGUGUAGAGGUGAAAUUCGUAGAUAUCAGGAGGAACACCAGUGGCGAAAGCGGCUUCCUGGCCCGAUACUGACGCUCAUGUACGAAAGCGUGGGGAGCAAACAGG
rnacentral:rRNA from 1 species